rnacentral:rRNA from 1 species
AGGUGAGUAACACGUGAGUAACCUGCCCUUGACUUUGGGAUAACUUCAGGAAACUGGGGCUAAUACCGGAUAGGAGCUCCUGCUGCAUGGUGGGGGUUGGAAAGUUUCGGCGGUUGGGGAUGGACUCGCGGCUUAUCAGCUUGUUGGUGGGUAGUGGCUUACCAAGGCUUUGACGGGUAGCCGGCCUGAGAGGGUGACCGGCCACAUUGGGACUGAGAUACGGCCCAG